rnacentral:snRNA from 1 species
AUACUUACCUAGCAGGGAAGAUACCAUGAUCACAAAGGUGGUUUUCCUAGGGCGAGGCUUAUUCAUUACACUCCGGAUGUGCUGAUCCCUGUGAUUUCCCUAAAUGUGAGAAACCCAUUCAAUUUCCCUAAAUGUGAGAAACUCCACUGCAUAAUUUGUGGUAGUGGGGGACUGUGUUCAUGCUCUC